CACCAAGAAAUUAAAUCCCUCCACAUCAAAACUUGAAAGGUUAAAAUAUCAUCCCAACCCCCCUUCCUCGCCGAUCCCAACCCCCCCUUUCGCCGCCGUCGCCAUCUUGAAGUAGACUCCCUCUCUAAUUGCUCUCAACUCUUCCGUCAGUGGUCAGCCGGCCAGCCAGUCUCUCUCCUCGGCUGUUAACGAAGUCCAUUGUCUCUCUCUCUCUUCCCCAAAAUCCUCACCAUAGAUCUCGUUUCGUGGCGCUUCUCCGGAGAAAACCACCACCACUCUCCUUCCAGAUCUCCGCCGCCACUGCCGCGUCUUGAAGUGGAAUCCCUCUCUAAUCGCUCUCAUUUCUCCCGUCGAUGGUCGGCCGACCAGCCAGUCUCUCUCCUCGGCUGUUAAAGAGGUUCGUUCUCUCUCUCUCUCUUCUCCAAAAUCGUCGCCAUAGAUCUCGUUUCGGGCGCUUCUUCGGAGAAAACCACCACCACUCUCCUCCUAGAUUUCCGAAAGCAUCCGCCAAAAUGUGAGCUUUUUCCUCUUAAUCUUCUCUAUCAUCAUUUCAUCUCUUCUCUGGCUAUGGUGGAAGGAAGCGUGGAAUAAGAGAGAAGGAAGAGGAGACCAGAGCCCGGCUAUGGUGAAACGAUCUGGGGUUGGUAUAGCACCGAUCUAUUGAUGGUUUGGGGUUUUUGGUUUCAGGAAGCCGCUUUUUGGUUUGAUUACAUGGACUGCGGUGUGGAAAAUUGCAAAGAAACUACAGCCAAAAGAUGCUUCCUGUGUUAUUUCUACUGUAAUUUGUAAUUUGUAAUUUGUAAAUAUACCUCUUGUAUUAUUCCUAUUAUAAAAGAAAGAUCAUACAAAUUGGGCAUAUGUUGUAACAUGCUUCCUAUUGUAAUUUAUAAAAAAAAUCAAUAAAUGAGCAUAUCUUGUUCUUCUUGUGUUA